rnacentral:lncRNA from 1 species
CCUGAGAACUUCCAUAUGCUGCAAAUGUGGCCCUAAAAAGACAAAAAAAAAAAAAAAGAUAAAAUUGUUAAGAACUUUAAGACAGUGAUCACAGAGCAUUAAACCCCAAGCAGUGUCCUUGUGACCAUGGGGCCUUGUGAUACUUAGUUCUAUAUGUGUCAAGCCUCUCCGCACCAGCACCAGUCUCCAAGGGGGCAGAGGGCAGCAGUGGUCCCUGGGCUGGGCAGAGAGAAGCCUAAAGGUGCCCAGAUAUUUGAUCAAACAUUAUUCUGAGUGUUAGCGUGAGCACGUUUGGGGGUUGAAAUUAGCAUUUAAAUGCGUAGACCGAGUCAAGGUGAUUGCCCUCUCUAAACAUAAACGAGCUUUAUCCAAUCAAAGAGAACAAAAAGGCUGACCCUCCUCUGAGUCAAAGAGGAUUCCUCCUGCCUGAAGGCCUUCAAAGUGGAGCCUGGCUCUUCCAGGUCUCCAGCUUGCCAGCCCACCCCAUAGACCUUGGGACUGAGGCUCCCUAAAAGCAUGAGCCCCUUCCAUAUAUUAUCCUAUUGGCUGUAUUUCUGGGGGGAGCCCUGACUAAUACAGGCCCUCUGUGGCUGAGCACUCCCCUGUAAAGCCUGCCCUGGGCAUCUCUUGCACCCUUUCUUUUCUUUCACUUCCCACCUUUGCCUGGUGAGCCCAGAACUUUGUCUCAUGUGAGCCCUGUGCCAGAGCUCCCAGCCAGGGCACUUCCCUAUCAGAGUCUCACAAAUAAAAUCAAUCCUUGCCGCUCUUUUCAAAGAAACAUCCCAUGGUUCUCCCUUAAAGUAAACUUCCUUCAUUACAUGCACAACCCUUUGGGAUCUACCUCAACGUAAAUUUUACCUCCGUGUCAGCCCCUGUCCUCAUCAAUUUUAUUUCCUUCAUACUUACUCAUGGUACAGUGGUCAUGUCCACCACAGUACAUUGCCCACAUUUCUCUUCAAGCCUGAAAUGAAACCUACCACCCUCGAAGGCCCGGGUUAAGCUUUUCUUCUUUCAUAUGGUGCAUGAGAAAUCUACUGAAUGCCAGUUUACAUGGGACUAGCCUUCUUGCAUUUCCUGUACUUGACCCCUGCCCUCACUUGUAUGUAAGCACCCCUUGUACCUACUGGCAUUCAGCUUUGUUAUGUAUUUUCCCUACAAGUGAUGACAAGUUAUUCAUAGAUGCUGUGCUUCAUGGAUCAUCUUUCCUAGGAUGCUAUCAUGUUCCUAUUAGGAGGUCAAGGAAUAUUCUUGAAAGAAUGCAUGGGUAAAUUAACUGUUGCUCAUUGUAGUAGGUGGAAUGGUGCCUCCCCAAAAGAUACAGCCACACCCCAAUACCUGCAGCUUGUGAAGGUGACCUUAUUUGGAAAAUGGUUUUUUUGUAAAUGUAAUUAAGUUAAGGAUAUUGAGAUAAGAUCCAUACUGGAUUAUCCAGUGAGCCCUAAGUCCAAAUUCAAGUUUGUUUUGUGUGUUUGCUUGUUUCUUUUUAGGGCCACACCAGUGGCAUAUGGAGGUUCCCAGACUUGGGGUAAAAUCGGAGCUGUAGCCAGCCUAUGCCACAGCCACAGCAACAUGGGAUCCAGGCUGCAUCUGCAACCUAUGCCACAGCUCAAGGCAAUGCUGGAUCCUUAACCCACUGAGCAAGGCCAGGGAUCGAACCUGCAUCUUCAUGGACGCUAGUCAGAUUAGUUUCCCCUGAGCCAUGAUAGGAACUCCCAAAGUCAAGUGUUUUUAUAAGACACAAAAGUGGAGAAGGGGAAAAGAACGGGUAAAGAUAGAAGAUAGACACACUUAUUGGAGAGAUGCAUUCACAAACCAUGGAACACUUGGGGCCACGGGAAGCUGGAAGAAGAAAGGAAGAAUUAUCCCCUAGCUCCUCCAGAGGGAGCACAGCCCUGUCAACCCCUUGACUUCAGGAUUCUACCCUCCAGAACCAGGAGAGAAUGAAUUUCUGCUGUUUAAGCUACCUGGGUUUUGGUGAUGUGCUAUGGGCAACCCUAGGAAACUAACACAUUCAUCUUUCCCUGAGGCUCUUUGUACAAUUAGUCUACAUUAUGUCUGCAUAUAAUAGUAGAACCAUUUUUAUCUUAAAAGCUAAAGAGACAAUUGCCCUAGGCUCUUUGCAUAAUGUGUACUUUUUGAAUCUUUAAAAUGACAAGUACAAAAUUCCUCAAGCUCUUUCAAAAACUGGCAUUUAAAUUACAUGAUUUUUCAAGAAUGCUGUCUUUCUCUAAUAGUCAAAAGCACCUCAUGUGUAUCCCAAAACCUUUUAUUUUGAGAUCAUUAGAGAUUCACAUGCAGUCAUAAGAAGUAAAAGAGAGAGCGGGUGUGCCCUCUAUCCAGUUGGUAAAAUCAAAUGGUAACAUCUUACAAAAUUAUACUACAGUGUCAUAACCAGUAUGUUGGCAUGGACACUAUCCAAUGAUCUUACUCAUAUUUCCCCAAAUUUAAUUGUACUUAUAUGUGUGAGUGUGUAUGAGUGUGUGUGUGUGUGUUUAGUUUAUGUAAUUUGAUCACCUGUGUGGGUUCAUGUAUCCACCACCAUCAAGAAGCAAAACUAUUCUACUGCCACAAGGAUGCCUCAAAUUGCCCUUUUAUGGCACCCUCCUUAUGUCGCCAUCCCUACCUAUCCUUGAGGAUAACAAAUUGGUGAAUCUUAAAGGAAUUAUGCUGAGUGAAAAGGCCAAUCCCGAGUGGUUACAUACCACAUGAAUCCACUUACAUAACAUUCUUGAAAUGAUAAAAUCACAGAGAUAGAUAACAAGUUAGUGGUUGCCAUACGGUGUGUAUUCUCUUGAAAGUAAAGUAUAUUUAAAUUUUUUCGGGGAACUCAAAGUCCUAUAUAGCAAAUUAAUUUUCUCAUCCAAUAAAUAUUUGAGGAAAUCCUUUGUGUGCCUGACUUACUUUGAUAUUGGGAAUACUCAACCCCUGCCUCAGGAAAGGCACUGAUAUGCCAAAUCAGAAGCUUCUACAAUGGAAUUCUAUGUUAUGCCCUUUGAUGCGGAAAUGACAGGCUCCUGGGGAGCAUAUAACUGAACAACGACAACCAAAAAAAAACCCCAAAAAACCACCUAUUGAUGGACAUAAUAAAUAAUUUGGAGUUCCUGUCAUGGCUCAGUGAUUAAGAAACCCGAGUAGUAUCCGUGAGGAUGUGGAUUUGAUCUCUGGUCUUGAUCAGUGGGUUGAGAAUCCAGCAUUGCCUUGAGCUGUGGUGUAGGUCAAAGAUGCGGCUCGGAUCUGGCAUUGCUGUGGCUGGCGUAGGCCGGUGGCUACAGCUCUGAUUAGACCCCCAGCCUGGGAACUCCCCUAAUGCUGUGGGUGUGGCCCUAAAAAGACAAAAGACAAAUAAAAUAAAUAAAUAAAAAAUAAUCUAUAAUAGGAAGAGAAAAAAGACUUUUAUUUAAGUCAAACUGAGGGCUAUAGCCCAGGAGACACAGAUUCAAGAAGCACUUGAAUUGUGUUCCAUCAGAUUAAAUAAUGAGGAAGGCUUAAUAAAGGUAAAAAUUAUAAGGUUACAGUUAGUUACAUGAGUUACUGUUGGAGUUGGCAAGAAGUAAGGGUGUUUAUUAAGUAAGGAUGGUUUGGGGUCUGAGAUGGAAGACCUUGACACCAUAAAGUUGCAGCUGGCAGCUGCUAGCAGGUAUUAUUUUGAGAACAGCUGGUGGUAUUCUUGGGUUUGACACAGUUCAGCAAAUUCAAGUUCUCACUGAUUUAGGAACUUGUCAAAAGCUACAUCCACAGUGGGCACCUAGCUCCACUUUGAAUGUAUGAAUUGCAGUUAACUCCAUUUUGAUUUUUAAACUCAUUCUCUUCUUGAAUGGUUAAAGCAAACAUACAAUGUGUGUUUGACAGACCCUAAGACAGGCUAUUCUUGGUAGCAUAAAACUCAAACCAAAUCAUGUAUAAGCCAGAAUGACUUCCUCAUAUUUCAAUAUGUGGCAAUUUCUACCAUCAAAACAAAAAACAAAAACAGACAGAAACGAUCAACAGCUACAAUGGUGAUUACAUAAGAAAUGAGUUAAAGUUCUGUCUCCAAGAAAGAACUAGGAGAAACCGUGAGAGAAUUUGGCAGAUGAGUUAAGGAUUUGGGAGAGUAAGCAGUUUAGGUUAAGAUACAGAUACACAGUUAAUAAUAAGCCCUGUGGCCUCUGGAUCCCUGGGAGAGUGUAAAUGGACUGGAGAUGAGCUUGAUCCCCUAGAAGGUAUAUCAUCGGUGGUGGAGAGAUGACAGUUCUGCUGGGCUGGAUAGUGGCAAAGGGGCGAGAACCCAUGCAGACAGUGUCAGCUCCUAUGAAUCAGCACAAGCUGGACGUGAAUCAGUAGUACAGAAAAACAUUCAACGACAGAGCCCUGCAAAGAUGAGUCCCAAGAGUUUUAGGGGCAAAGUAAGGCCCUGCAAAGUUCUGGGAAACCAGCAGUCUGAAGUGAUAAGCAAAUAUCAAAGUUUUGCAUGCAGAUCUGGGAGACAGUGGGGGAGGGGCAUUUACCCGUUCUCUAAAUGCAAAUGAAUUUUAUCUCCUAUACUAAAAACUAUACUAAAUGUUUUCCACUGCUAAAGAAAACAACAACAACAACAUCCAAACCUUGUCAGGGAAUUGUUGUUUUCAUUUAUGGGGUGGAAACUGGCUGGGACAGAGGAAGCAACUUGCCUAAGGUCACUUAGCAGCUAGUGGUAGAUGGAGCCAAGAUCUAAAUUCAUCUGUCUGACUCCAAGUCCAAACCAACUCUCCCAUCCCAGGCUUUUCAAGGAGGUAAACAAUGACGGGGUCAGGGAGGGGUAUCCUGGAGGCACAAAAGAGAAGGGAAUUUCGGAAGGUGACAUUCCUUUGAAAUCUAUAGAAUCUGAAGGUUAAAUUCUCCACUCCUGGCUUUGUAGUGAAGUGAGCAAUUUUCACGGCUUUUGCUUCCUGAAUAGAGAUGGAAAUUUUGACUAUUGGAUAGAACUCUACAAAAUACCAGAUGCUAUAUUUGAGCAGAACUUCUCUGGGUAAAUAAAUUACACUUAAAAACAUGUACCAAACCUCAGUGAGGCUACAGCAGUUUUACAAGAAACAUUUCAAAGUAAAAG